rnacentral:rRNA from 1 species
UGCUUGUCUCAAAGAUUAAGCCAUGCAUGCCUAAGCGUGAACUAAAUUAAAGUGAAGCCACGAAUAGCUCAUUACCACAGCCGUUGCUUCUUGGAUCUCCGUAAUACUUGGAUAAUCUGUGGUAAUUCUAGAGCUAAUACACGCAAUCGAGCUCCGACCGUAAGGAACGAGCGCAUUUAUUAGAACAAAACCAAUCAGUGCUUGCACUGUGGUUUGGUGAAUCUGAAUAACUGAGCAGAUCGCUACGGUCUUGUACCGGCGACGUAUCUUUCAAGUGUCUGCCUUAUCAACUUUCGAUGGUAGUUUAUGUGCCUACGAUGGUUGUAACGGGUAACGGAGAAUUAGGGUUCGACUCCGGAGAGGGAGCCUGAGAAACGGCUACCACUUCCRAGGAAGGCAGCAGGCA